rnacentral:rRNA from 1 species
GAUGAACGCUGGCGGCGUGCCUAAUACAUGCAAGUAGAACGCUGAAGGAGGAGCUUGCUCUUCUGGAUGAGUUGCGAACGGGUGAGUAACGCGUAGGUAACCUGCCUGGUAGCGGGGGAUAACUAUUGGAAACGAUAGCUAAUACCGCAUGACAACAGUUAUUGCAUGAUAACUGUUGAAAAGGGGCAACUGCUCCACUACCAGAUGGACCUGCGUUGUAUUAGCUAGUUGGUGAGGUAACGGCUCACCAAGGCGACGAUACAUCUUCGAACGGCGAGGGGGGGUAGCCAGCCUGGGAGUGAGACAGGGCCCAGUCUGCCACGGGAGGCAGCCGUAGGGCAACGUCGGCAAUGGACGGAAGAUUGACCGAGCAACGCGGCGGGAGGGAAGAAGGUUUUCGGAUCGUAAAGCACGGUUGUAAGAGAAGAACGAGUGUGAGCGUGGAAAGUUCACACUGUGACGGUAUCUGAUCAGAAAGGGACGGCUAACUACGUG